GGAAGCUUUGGGACCUGUCAUCUGUGGCAGUCUCCCUCCCUAGCCAUGGAAGAGCAUUUUCUUGUUUACUGGCAAAGCUGUUGUUGUGGAAUUUAAGAGAAGUUUAAUUAUUUGAGUAUAG
rnacentral:snoRNA from 1 species